rnacentral:rRNA from 1 species
UAGCGUGAGGGGCUAGCGUUGCUCGGAAUCACUGGGCGUAAAGGGUGCGUAGGCGGGUCUUUAAGUCAGGGGUGAAAUCCUGGAGCUCAACUCCCAGAACUGCCUUUGAUACUGAAGAUCUUGAGUUCGGGAGAGGUGAGUGGAACUGCGAGUGUAGAGGUGAAAUUCGUAGAUAUUCGCAAGAACACCAGUGGCGAAGGCGGCUCACUGGCCCGGUACUGACGCUGAGACGCGAAAGCGUGGGGAGCGAACAGG